AGUGAACGCUGGCGGCAGGCCUAAUACAUGCGAGUCGAACGGCAGCACAGCAGAGCUUGCUCUGUGGGUGGCGAGUGGCGGACGGGUGAGGAAUACAUGGGAAUCUGCCCAGUCGUGGGGGAUAACGUAUGGAAACGUACGCUAAUACCGCAUGCGCCCUACGGGGGAAAGUCGGGGACCGCAAGGCCUGACGCGAUUGGAUGAGCCCAUGUUCGAUUAGCUAGUUGGCGGGGUAAAGGCCCACCAAGGCGACGAUCGAUAGCUGGUCUGAGAGGAUGAUCAGCCACACUGGAACUGAGACACGGUCCAGACUCCUACGGGAGGCAGCAGUAGGGAAUAUUGGACAAUGGGGGCAACCCUGAUCCAGCCAUGCCGCGUGAGUGAAGAAGG
rnacentral:rRNA from 1 species